rnacentral:rRNA from 1 species
CCCUUAGAUGUCCGGGGCUGCACGCGCGCUACACUGAAGGAAUCAGCGUGCUAAAACCAUUGUCGAAAGGCAUUGGUAAACCCAUUAAAAUCCUACGUGAUUGGGAUCGGGAAUUGCAAUUAUUUCCCUUGAACGAGGAAUUCCCAGUAAGUGUGGGUCAUAAGCUCGCGUUGAUUACGUCCCUGCCCUUUGUACACACCGCCCGUUGCUGCCCGGGACUGAGCCGUUUCGAGAAAAGCGGGGACUGCUGCUGUCGGGGCUUUCGGGCCUUGGCUUCGGUGGAAACCGCUUUAAUCGCAGUGGCUUGAACCGGGCAAAAGUCGUAACA